GGCUACAGCCAUGCCACCCUGAACACGCCUGAUCUCAUCUGAUCUCAGAAGCCAAGCAGGGUCGGGCCUGGUUAGUACUUGGAUGGGAGACCACCUAGGAAGACCAGGUGCUAUAGGCG
rnacentral:rRNA from 1 species